ensembl:lncRNA
CCACGCUAUGGGGUCAGGGGCAGCGCAGACCCCAUAGCGCUAUGGGGUUGGCAAUGCUCGGAGCCUAUAGGGCCACGCUAUGGGGUCAGGGGCAGUGGAGACCCCACAUUGCAAUGGGGUUGGGCGCAGCUCAGGGCCUAUAGGGCCACGCUAUGGGGUUGGGGACAGUGCAGACCCCAUAGCGCUGUGGGGUUGGCAAUGCUUGGAGCCUAUAGGGCCACGCUAUGGGGUUGGCAAUGCUCGGGGCCUAUAGGGCCAAGCUGUGGGGUCAGGGGCACUGCAGACCCCACACUGCAGUGCGGUUGGGCGCAGCUCGGAGCUUAUAGGGCCAUGCUAUGGGGUCAGGGGCAGUGCAGACCCCAUAGCGCUGUGGGGUUGGCAAUGCUCGGAGCCUAUAGGGCCACGCUAUGGGGUUGGCAAUGCUCGGAGCCUAUAGGGUCAUGCUAUGGGGUCAGGGGCAGUGCAGACCCCACACUGCAAUGGGGUUGGGCGCAGCUUGGGGCCUAUAGGGCCACGCUAUGGGGUCGGGGACAAUGCAGACCCCAUAGCGCUGUGGGGCUGGCAAUGCUUGGAGCCUAUAGGGCCACGUUAUGGGGUUGGGGGCAGUAGAGACCCCAUAGCGCUGUGAGGUUUGGCGCAGCUCAGGGCCUAUAGGGCCACGCUAUGGGGUCAGGGGCAGUGCAGACCCCAUAGCGCUGUGGGGUUGGCAAUGCUCGGGGCCUAUAGGGCCAAGCUGUGGGGUCAGGAGCAGCGCAGACCCCAUAGCGCAGUGGGGUUGGGCACAGCUCGGAGCCUAUAGGGCCAUGCUAUGGGGUUGGCAAUGCUCGGAGCCUAUAGGGCCAAGCUGUGGGGUCAGGGGCAGUGCAGAUCCCACACUGCAAUGGGGUUGGGCGCAGCUCGGGGCCUAUAGGGCCACGCUAUGGGGUUGGCAAUGCUCGGAGCCUAUAGGGUCACGCUAUGGGGCUGGGGGCAGUGCAGACCCCACAUUGCAAUGGGGUUGGGCGCAGCUCGGGGCCUAUAGGGCCACGCUAUGGGGUUGGCAAUGCUCGGGGCCUAUAGGGCCAAGCUGUGGGGUCAGGGGUAGUGCAGACCCCAUAGCGCUGUGGGGUUGGCAAUGCUCGGAGCCUAUAGGGUCAUGCUAUGGGGUCAGGGGCAGUGCAGACCCCACACUGCAAUGGGGUUGGGCGCAGCUCGGGGCCUAUAGGGCCACGCUAUGGGGUUGGGCGCAGCUUGGGGCCUAUAGGGCCACGCUAUGGGGUCAGGGGCAGUGCAGACCCCACAUUGCAACGGGGUUGGGCGCAGCUCAGGGCCUAUAGGGCCACGCUGUGGGGUCAGGAGCAAUGCAGACCCCACACUGCAAUGGGGUUGGGCGCAGCUCGGGGCCUAUAGGGCCACGCUAUGGGGUUGGCAAUGCUCGGGGCCUAUAGGGCCAUGCUAUGGGGUCGGGGACAAUGCAGACCCCAUAGCGCUGUGGGGUUGGGCGCAGCUCGGCGCCCAUCGUGUCCCUCAUCCCCCACCCCGUGCAGCGAGGGGUUGCGGGCGGGGGGCACCGGGUUGGGGGGGGCUGCACUUAUGGGGCCGCGCUGCUCUAUGGGGCGCGGCGUGUGGGGCGGCUGCAGCUGGGCUGGCUGCGGCCGCGGGGGGGGGCGCGGGGGAGCAUUCCUGACA